GUGCCAGCCGCCGCGGUAAUACGUAGGGUCCGAGCGUUGUCCGGAAUUAUUGGGCGUAAAGAGCUCGUAGGCGGUUUGUCGCGUCUGCUGUGAAAUCUGGAGGCUCAACCUCCAGCCUGCAGUGGGUACGGGCAGACUAGAGUGCGGUAGGGGAGAAUGGAAUUCCUGGUGUAGCGGUGGAAUGCGCAGAUAUCAGGAGGAACACCGAUGGCGAAGGCAGUUCUCUGGGCCGUAACUGACGCUGAGGAGCGAAAGCGUGGGGAGCGAACAGGAUUAGAUACCCCCGUAGUCC
rnacentral:rRNA from 1 species